GUGCUUGCUUUGGCAGCACAUAUACUAAAACGGGAACAAUACAGAGAUUCCCAUGGCCCCUGCGCAAGGAUGACAUGCAAAUUCGUGAAGCGUUCCAUGUUUUU